GAUGAAGAACGUAGCGAAAUGCGUUACGUAAUGUGAAUUGCAAAUUCAGUGAAUCAUCGAGUCUUUGAACGCACAUUGCGCCCCCUGGUAUUCCGGGGGGCAUGCCUGUCCGAGCGUCAUUGCUGCCCUCAAGCACGGCUUGUGUGUUGGGCCCCGUCCUCCGAUCCCGGGGGACGGGCCCGAAAGGCAGCGGCGGCACCGCGUCCGGUCCUCGAGCGUAUGGGGCUUUGUCACCCGCUCUGUAGGCCCGGCCGGCGCUUGCCGAUCAACCCAAAUUUUUAUCCAGGUUGACCUCGGAUCAGGUAGGGAUACCCGCUGAACUUAAGCAUAUCAAUAAGCGGAGGA
rnacentral:misc_RNA from 1 species